CCAUAAACGAUCAAUACGAAAAUUUUGGAACUUUCAGAACUAUAGUUGUUCCAAGCACCAUUGUGUCUAUCCUGCUCUUUUGAUGAAUCGUGUGACAUUGGGGAAUCCUGGAGCUACAAAAGUUUUACUACAGCUCCCAUUCUAUGUCAUCCUUAUCCUGCACAACCAUUCAUACUUGAGGUGGAUGUUUUGGAGUUUGCAGUAGGAGCUGUGUCAUCUCAACGAUCGGGACCACAUAGCCUUCUUCAUACCAUCACCUUCUUCUCAAGGAAGUUGUUAAAUUCUAAGCACAAUUAUGAUAGAACUGAAGCUCUCAAGAUCAUUGAAGAUUCCCCUGGUCUUUGCCAGACUUUGGAUUUGGCAUGCAGCUGCUUUUGGGGCCUGUACUUGGUGGUGACUUCUCAUGGGUCUUUUAACAUUGCUGUAGGCCUCCAUGUGGACUCCAUGACCAUUUGUUUCCUUAUCUUCAUGUUGGAAAGACAUCCUGAUCUUGGUACAGCCACUGUUGAACCAUAUUUUCUUCACUUUUUGAUGACUGUGAACCAUAGACGGCGUAAUGAUUUAGUACCCCUUUUUGUACCCCUGGCCCGAUUGAAACCUUUCAGUGAUAAGAUCUUUUUUGUGUUUUAAACGUAAUUUAUGGACCAUGGCUUUUGGAGUAAAAGACCAAGAGAAAUAAUCCUACAGGAACAGCCAAACUUUAUCUGAGCUCAAUCAUGUCAUGUUUAUACUAACUACUAUUUGAUAUGAGACUGAAUAUGAUUGGUUGAUUCAGCCACAUUCUUGAUUAUUAAAGCGUUUGCAUAGUAAUACAA